CACAGUGGGGAAUAUUGGACAAUGGGGGCAACCCUGAUCCAGCCAUGCCGCGUGUGUGAAGAAGGCCUUUUGGUUGUAAAGCACUUUAAGCWGUGAAGAAGACUCUUCGGUUAAUMCCCGGAGACGAUGACAUUASCUGCASAAUAAGCACCGGCUAACUYUGUGCCAGCAGCCGCGGUAAUWCAGAGGGUGCAAGCGUUAAUYGGAAUUACUGGGCGUAAAGCGAGCGUARGUGGCUUGAUAAGUCAGAUGUGAAAUCCCCGGGCUUAACCUGGGAACUGCAUCUGAAACUGUUMGGCUAGAGUAKGUGAGAGGGAAGUAGAAUUUCAKGUGUAGCGGUGAAAUGYGUAGAGAUYUGAAGGAAUMCCGAUGGCGAAGGCARCUUCCUGGCAUCAUACUGACACUGAGGCUCGAAAGCGUGGGUAGCAAACAGGAUUAGAUACCCUGGUAGUCCACSCCGUAAACGAUGUCUACUMGUCGUUGGGUCCCUUGAGGACUUASUGACGCAGCUAACGCAAUAAGUARACCGCCUGGGGAGUACGGCCGCAAGGUUAAAACUC
rnacentral:rRNA from 1 species